rnacentral:rRNA from 1 species
CACUAUGCCUAGCCCUAAACAUAGAUAUCAAUUCACUUAUUUUAUCCGCCCGGGAACUACGAGCAAUAGCUUAAAACCCAAAGGACUUGGCGGUGCUUUAGAACCACCUAGAGGAGCCUGUUCUAGAACCGAUACUCCCCGUUUAACCUUACCUUUCCUUGCCUUAUCCGCCUAUAUACCACCGUCGUCAGCCUACUCUUUGAGGACCUCACAGUAUGCAAAAUUGGUUGUACCCCAAAACGCCAGGUCGAGGUGUAGCGAAUGGAAAGGGAUAGCAAUGGGCUACAUUCAAUAACCUAUAAUGAAAACGAACGCCAUUCUGAAAAAGAUGGCCGAAGGAGGAUUUAGCAGUAAGCAGAGAACAGAGCGCUCUCCUGAAGCUGGCACUGAAGCGCGUACACACCGCCCGUCACUCUCCCCAAGCUAGGCUACAUAUAUUACUAAUAAAUGAACAAUCGCGGAGGGGAGGCAAGUCGUAA